UACGGAGGAGGCAAGCGUUAUCCGGAAUUAUUGGGCGUAAAGCGUCCGUAGGUGGUUGGUCAAGUCUUCUGUCAAAGCGCGGAGCUUAACUCCGUACCGGCAGAGGAAACUGACUAGCUAGAGUGCGAUAGGGGCAAGGGGAAUUCCCAGUGUAGCGGUGAAAUGCGUAGAUAUUGGGAAGAACACCGGUGGCGAAAGCGCCUUGCUGGGUCUGCACUGACACUGAGGGACGAAAGCUAGGGGAGCGAAAGGG
rnacentral:rRNA from 1 species